rnacentral:lncRNA from 1 species
UGGUCCUAAGCAUCACAGAAUCCCAGUCUCUUCAGCAAUGGCUCAGCCAACAUGGGCCCACAAGAGGUCAUGAACCAUUGGUUUAAUGGCUCCGUGCCACUUGUAAGCCAGCAGAUCCACUCUCCAUCCUUCUCUACUCUGUCUGUGCUGUGGGAGGCUGACCCCAUCUGUUUACUUCAGUGGAGCACUAGAGCCUGCAAGAACUGAUUGUAUGCAUCUCCUCCUAACUCCGUGUUUGGUGACUGUGGUAGGAAUAUUUACACUAUGGACACUGGCAAAUACUACAACCUACAGCACCCAGUAUUCCCAGGCAGUCUUCCAUCUAAGGACUAACCAGGCUUUAUCUUGCUUAGCUUCCAAGGCCAGGUGAGAUCGGAUGCAUUCAGGUUGGUAUAGCUGUAGAUAGCCCCACCUAUUUAUACCUUCACACUGGGGGUUAUGUCCCAACAUAGGAAUUUUUUUGGGACACCAACAUUCAGACCACAGCAGGAGUGUUGGAGACCAAUUAGAAUGUUGACAUUUGAUAAUUGCCCUCUUCAAAACUGGCUGAAGAGAAAGGAAUCUGACUGAUUUUUGAAGCUAGUGCUCUUUUGCAGGUGCCAUCACCUGUUUGUUGUGUGAACUUGCUCUCUGUCCUCCUGGAGUCAGCUACUAAAACUUCUCAUCCACAGUGCUGGCCCCUGAAUCCUGGCUAACAAAGCCUUACCCUAUGGACAGGAAGAGAAAUGAGACACAACGUUGCCCAGGAGCUGGGUAUUGGUGAUGACUCCAAGCCCUACUUCUCUUCCACUUGCUAGGGCUCUGCUUGCUCCAUUGGUUGCCAAAUCCACAUCUGGAUUUUCCUGUUCACUGGGCCCGUUUCGACUCAUGAUUUGCUUUGGACUUUCCACUUGGUUCUAUGCAUUGCUCUCUGUGAUGAUCCUGGUGGUUCAGCCUCUGCAUUUUGACACAGAAAGCCCCUGGUAGCAGUAUGGAUGGCCAUGUUGGCCUGGACCUGAAGAACACUGAAUCUCACCCACCAGGAACUGGACUCCCAAACUCCUGGCUGCUGACUCCAGGAAUUCCUAUAGCUAUAAAUGUCUACAUUGUUUUAUUUUGAUUCCACUUUGUUUAUUUGGAUCUGUGUAUCUGCCUCUGAACUCUGUAUCUUGUAUCUUUUAUUUUUAUUUUAUU